AAAAGGGCAGCCGAAAACUUAUAGAGUAGGCA
rnacentral:ncRNA from 1 species